rnacentral:lncRNA from 1 species
AAGGAUCAACCGGUGAAGAUGAAAAGAAUUUCAUCAAAGAAGCUGCAUAAUCUCUAAGGUAGCAUCAUUUCUCUUUUUGCCCAAACAAUGAGAAUCAAGAAUUUUAUUAGCUUUAAGCCUUCUAAUAGAGCUCUUCCAUCUUAAGGGGGCUUGGAUUCCCAUUCAAGCUUCUAUCGAAGUUUAGCACAUCUCUCUCUCUCAUGAAAAGGAUAACCAAAUGGUGAAAUUAAAACGUAGGUUUUUACUGAUAUAUUAACCAAUUAAAAAUAAUGAGUCAUUUGAAAUGAAAGAGUCAUGUAAAUAUAAAAAUACACCUUCUCUUCCCGAAUGAUUCACCCAAAAAAAAAGAGAAAACUUCUCUCUCAUUAAACCGAACCGAAUAUGGGUGCUUGAGGUGUAAGCUCGCAUCAGCACGUGAGUUGCCCAUACGCAAGGCUAUGGCUGUUGGACACCACUCAAAAAUAUAAACCUAACUAAUAGGUUUGGAUAUUUGCAGCAGCUAAGCUAUAAAAAAAUAUAUUGUUUUAAAAUACGAUAACCUCAUUGUAUGAAAUUCAUUUUAGAAUUCAAAGGCAUAUACUUUUGAUACGAAAAUUCCAUAAAAUCCUUAUGAGCUGCCCUGCCCUGCCCUCUAACCAUGUGAAAUUAAAAAGAAUGUCAAACUAACCAUGUGAAAUGAGAGAGGAAAGAGAAAUCGUAGAGAAAGAGAGGAAAAAGAGAAAAUGAAAGGGCCAACCUUGAACGUUGAGCCCAAAGCAACAUGCCAUGAAACUUUGAAAAAAGUGAAUGAAACAUUCAUCCUGUUUUGCCUGAGCUUUCUUCAUCAUCUUUAAUGAACAUCCCCACGCCCUUUUCUCUCUCUCUAUACCCUUUGCUUCCCCACAUCAAAACACAAAGAAACAACUGUUCCUUUGUUCCCUCAAGUUUGAGUGCUCAUGUUCCCUAAGCUUGAGGGAUCAAAUUAAUAAUCAAAAGAAAUAUAUUAACAUAUAUAAAUAUCUUAUAUUAUAUAAUAUUUAUAAUAAUAGAUAUAUACAUAUCUUAUAUUAUAUCAUAAUAAAUAUUAUAUUAUAUGUUAUAUAUAGUACAAAUAUAGGUUAAUAAAAUAUAUAAAAUACAUUUUAUUAUAUAUAUUAUAUAUUUAUAUUUACAUUGUUCAUAUAUAUAAUAUUAUUGUAUUAAAUAUAUAAUAUAUAAUAUUAUUAUAUAUGAUAUAUAUAUUUAUUAUAUUAUAAGCAAAUUAGUAACACAACUUUUUUAGAUAAUAUUAUUACUUUUGAGAUAAAAAAUAUAAAUAUUAUAAUUACUAAUUAUAUACAUCAUAUAUAUUUAUUAUAUUAUAAGCAAAUUAGUAACCCAACUUUUUUAGAUAAUAUUAUUACUUUUGAGAUAAAAAAUAUAAAUAUUAUAAUUACUAAUUAUAUAUAUGAUAUAUAUUUAUGGGAAAAUUGCUUUCUAAUAUAUUGCAUGACUCAAUAGAACAUAAAAUAACUAAAUAUACAAAUAUUAUAUAAUAUUGCAUAAAUAUUAAAAUAAUAACAAUACAUGAUAUAAUAAAUCUAUACUAUAUAGGAUUAUAUUGAAUCAGCAGAAGUAUUUCAAAUACUGUCUAUAUGUUUAUUAUAUUUGAAUCAUACUACAAAAUUAAUUGUAAUAAAAUAUUAUAUCUUAUUACUUACGCAAAAUAAUUAUAACUAUUUAAAAUUAUAACUAAAAAUUAUAGCUCUCUCCAAAAUUAGCACGCACAAAUUUUAGGAGGCAGCUCCUAAAAUUAGAAUGCACAAACUUUAGGGGGCUUCUUGUAGCGCCUAAGACAUCUAUUGGAAUAGAGGAAUAGAUUAUCAUAAAGGAAGAUGUAAUUUUUAUUUAAAAUUAAAAAGAACAUACCCAUUUAAGAAAGAUAAAUAUUCAAUUAUCUCUCUCUCUUUGAUUUUCUCUCUAUCUCAUUCUCUCAUGUACUCAUAUCUCUCUCUUCCCAAAAUAUGGAAAUCUAUUUUUAUCCUCGAUUUUUUCUAUCUAUCUUUAUAUUAUAAUUUCCUCCCUGUGUACUCUCUCCCUUUCUCCAUAUUCUCCUCGCAGCAGGGGCCUUUGGAAGAUGAUUUUCCUCCCUAUUCAAUAUCUUUUUGGUGCCAUCACUUUCUUAUACUUCAUUCCCAUUCUAUUUUCCAAUCGUCCUCCUAGGUUGCUUCAUCUCCUCCUCUCCCUUUUCACUGCUCAAAGACUCUGCUCUCCAAAAGGUGCUGAGAAAUUUUCGGAUGCGGCGAACAAGAGUGAAGGGGUAAACAGAACCCUCAGAAAGAAAAAAAGUGUAACGGAAAUCGGAGCGAUGAACCGCUGAGGCCAAGGCUGGUUUGGAAGAUGA